AGCCGGGGAUGAGGAACUUAAGCCAAAAAAGGCUGGAUAUAUGAUAUUGAAUAUAAAAGGUGGGGAGACAAAAAUGACCAGCAGAGGAGCCAUAACUUACACAAUUUGAGGUCCCCAGCAGAAGACUCAAGAACUCACAGUAUCAUCCCGUGAGAGAGUCUGCUUUGGAAGUCUGCCAUACCCGAGGGCAUCGUUGUUAGAUUAGAGCUGCACUAAUCAAUUAAGACUUCUCCUGCUUUCCCCUUCCUGUAGGAACCAGAGGCAGCAUACUGAAUGUGGAAGGAGGGAUUGAUGAGGAAAGAGAGGAGGGGCCAAAGUAUGACACAUCCUGUCCACACUGCAAGCUUCUAAGGCAAGCCAGGCUAGGAUAAGGGAAAUGUUAAAUUAGUGAUGAGACACAUUGCUGCCUACUCUCCUCUGUAGAUGUGGUAAGGGAACAGCCACAGAGCUCCUGCUGCCUCCAAGCCUUUUAAAGGACACCUUAAUAGGUGGGGCUGUUUUCCAGGAAGACAACCAAGAUACUGGACAAGAAGAAAAUGGACUUUUUCCCCAGGUUUAUUGAGAUAUAAUUGACACAUAACAUUGUCUAAGAUGUACAAGGUAUUGAUUUGACACAUUUGUAAAUUGCAAAAUGAUC